rnacentral:ncRNA from 2 species
CCCGGGCAUGAUCGCGCUGGUGCCCCACGGGGCUUAAAAGGGAACGCGGUGCGGAGGGUUCGCCCUCUUAUUCCGCGGCUGUCCCUGCAACUGUAAGCGGUGAGCGCGAUGCGUAGAAGGUCCUUUUCAGCCGCGAGGGGGGUGGGAAGGGACCGGCCACUGGACGCAAGUCCGGGAAGGCUGACGCAUCGCUGCUGUGACCCGCGAGCCAGGAGACCUGCCUGCGUCUGGUCGCUCUU